AGUAAAGAUUUGAAAACUUGUUCCCUGAUUUUUAAUCUCCAAUCUGGCGAAACCACCGCAGUUUCAUAGCAUCAUCGCCCUAUUGCAAUUGUCGGAGGACAAAGAACCCCCAGCAAGUAAUGGUGUCGCUCGUCGAAUCCAAUAGCCAUGGCAUAGUCUGUAAAGAUUAAUCGUAGUAAGGGCAGUUGUAGAGGUAGUUUUAAUUUUGCCUAAAACAAUUGGCGCCAGGUUUUU
rnacentral:misc_RNA from 1 species